rnacentral:misc_RNA from 1 species
GAUGAAGAACGUAGCGAAAUGCGAUAAGUAAUGUGAAUUGCAGAAUUCAGUGAAUCAUCGAAUCUUUGAACGCACAUUGCGCCCCCUGGUAUUCCGGGGGGCAUGCCUGUCCGAGCGUCAUUACAACCCUCAAGCUCAGCUUGGUGUUGGGCCCCGCCGCCCCGGCGGGCCCUAAAGUCAGUGGCGGUGCCGUCCGGCUCCGAGCGUAGUAAUUCUUCUCGCUCUGGAGGUCCGGUCGUGUGCUCGCCAGCAACCCCCAAUUUUUUUCAGGUUGACCUCAGAUCAGGUAGGGAUACCCGCUGAACUUAAGCAUAUCAAUAAGCGGAGGA